GCUAGGGUAGCGAACCGGAUUAGANACCCUGGUAGUCCUAGCCGUAAACGAUGGAUGCUAGGUGUAUGGGGGAAACCCUGUGUGCCGGAGCAAACGCGAUAAGCAUCCCGCCUGGGGAUUACGGCCGCAAGGCUAAAACUCAAACGAAUUGACGGGGCCCCGCACAAGCAGCGGAGCGUGUGGUUUAAUUCGAUGUUACACGAAGAACCUUACCUGGGUUUGACAUGAGCGUGGUACCGAUCCGAAAGGAAAGGGACCCUUCGGGGAGCGCCCACAGGUGCUGCAUGGCUGUCGUCAGCUCGUGCCGUGAGGUGUCGGGUUAAGUCCCGUAACGAGCGCAACCCUUGCCCUUAGUUACAGGUGUCUAAGGGGACUGCCGGCGGUAAGCCGGAGGAAGGUGGGGAUGACGUCAAGUCAGCAUGGCCCGUAUGUCCAGGGCUACACACACGCUACAAUGGUCGGUACAAAGGGCAGCGAAGCCGCGAGGUGGAGCGAAUCUCACAAAGCCGAUCGUAGUUCGGAUUGCAGGCUGCAACUCGCCUGCAUGAAGCUGGAGUUGCUAGUAACCGCGCGUCAGCUAUAGUGCGGUGAAUACGUUCCCGGGGCUUGUACACACCGCCCGUCACGUCAUGGGAGUCGGUAACGCCUGAAGUUGGUAGCCUAGCGCUAACGCGGGGGCGCCACCGAAGGCGGGGCUGGCAACUGGGACGAAGUCGUAACAAGGUAACCGUA
rnacentral:rRNA from 1 species